rnacentral:tRNA from 1 species
UAGGACAUAGUUAAAACAUAACACGACCCCGUCAGCGUCAAAUCGUAGGUCCAAACCCUACUGUCCUAA